AAGCUGUUGUUUUGACUCUUUAGCUCUGAUCAGUCAGUACUGUUAAUUCCUCUAUUUCUUGAAUCUAACACACAAAAAUACAGUGAUGAGCCUUGCGAGAAACAAAGAGAAAAGAACCAUAUCCCACCUUACUAAGGUGACCUUAGUGUCUCUUCCUACAUUGUAGUUUCUGGGGCCGCAGGGGAUGGCUAUCUUGCUACAGAUGUUUGGCGGGUUGCGCCUUUGUGUUUCAACUCUUUGGGAUCUGCAAGAAAUGAGAUUUUCUGCUAUUUUUGAUGAUGUAAGUUCUGUUGCGAUGACCAUCAUCAUGGCCGCAGUAUCAUGCUUCAUUGCUACGAGGAGCAGAUGAUUUUAAAGUUUCAGCUUGAAUUAGACUCUUCACCGUGUAUAUUUUUAUCAUCACCAUAUUCAUGUUAUGGUUUUUAUUUAGUCUGCCAUGUAUGCUUCUUCUAGGUCUUUUAAGCUUUUGUUGUUUUCAUCGUUGUCACUUUCUUUAUUUCACCGUUGUCUUUAACCUUGGAUAUGUUGGUUUGGAAACACACACAAAAUAUCAUUCAACCUCUAGGUCAUUAGAACUAUUGAUUUUAUUGUUACUAACUAGAGGGUGUGGCUUAAUGGUAAGAAGUUUUCGUAACUCA